GAUGAACGCUGACAGAAUGCUUAACACAUGCAAGUCUUUGGCGAAGCUGUGCUUGCACAGCCUAGCCAAGGCGGACGGGUGAGUAACGCGUAAGGAACUUGCCCUGCAGUCAGGGAUAACAGACGGAAACGACUGAUAAGACCUGGUAAAGUCAGUCGGACUCAUGUCCAGCCUGAUGAAAAGUGAUGCUGCAGGAGAGCCUUGCGUCCUAUUAGCUUGUUGGUGGGGUAACGGCCCACCAAGGCGAUGAUAGGUAGCCGGCCUGAGAGGGUGGACGGCCACAAGGGGACUGAGAUACGGCCCUUACUCCUACGGGAGGCAGCAGUGGGGAAUAUUGGACAAUGGGGGCAACCCUGAUCCAGCAAUUCUGUGUGCACGAUGAAGGUUUUCGGAUUGUAAAGUGCUUUCAGCAGGGAAGAAAAAAAUGACGGUACCUGCAGAAGAAGCGACGGCUAAAUACGUG
rnacentral:rRNA from 1 species